rnacentral:rRNA from 1 species
GACGAACGCUGGCGGCAGGCCUAACACAUGCGAGUCGAACGGACCUUUCGGGGUUAGUGGCGGACGGGUGAGUAACACGUGGGAACGUGCCUUUAGGUUCGGAAUAGCUCCUGGAAACGGGUGGUAAUGCCGAAUGUGCCCUUAGGGGGAAAGAUUUAUCGCCUUUAGAGCGGCCCGCGUCUGAUUAGCUAGUUGGUGAGGUAAUGGCUCACCAAGGCUACGAUCAGUAGCUGGUCUGAGAGGAUGACCAGCCACAUUGGGACUGAGACACGGCCCAAACUCCUACGGGAGGCAGCAGUGGGGAAUCUUGCGCAAUGGGCGAAAGCCUGACGCAGCCAUGCCGCGUGGAUGAUGAAGGUCUUAGGAUUGUAAAUCCUUUCACCGGUGAAGAUAAUGACUGUAGCCGGAGAAGAAGCCCCGGCUAACUUCGUGCCAGCAGCCGCCGUAA